rnacentral:rRNA from 1 species
UACGUAGGGGGCUAGCGUUGUCCGGAAUCAUUGGGCGUAAAGCGCGUGUAGGCGGCUCGAUAAGUCCGCUCUGAAAGCCCGGGGCUCAACCCCGGGAGGCGGGUGGAUACUGUCGAGCUCGAGUCCGGAAGAGGCAAGUGGAAUUCCUGGUGUAGCGGUGGAAUGCGCAGAUAUCUGGAGGAAUACCGGUGGCGAAGGCGGCAUCCUGGACCGAGAUUGACACUGAGGAGCGAAAGCCAGGGGAGCAAACGGG